ensembl:lncRNA
GUGGGGAUGUGUGUCAGCGUUCACAGGAGUCAAGAGAAAGGUUAAAAGUCUGCAUUAGCUGACGUCACCAAACUGUGGACUCGGAGGAGGUCCACAAGGGCGGAGUGUGUCAUUUGGGACAGAGCGGAAGUUGAACAUAGCUGAAAGCUUCACAUUAUAAUCGAUGACAUCAGAUGCAGUUCCAAGGAUGAGGAACAGAUGUCUGAACCAAGAAAAGGCAAAGGAAAAUAAUAUUAUGGCGGACAAGUUAGCAUUCAUUACUUUUAUUGUGUAAGUAGUGAACUGCGCGGCCUAAAGUG